UCCUGAGCCACUAUAAACAGAGGUCUGUUGCUUGUUCACCCUCUCGUGUCGGGUUUUAAUGAACUACACUGUGUUGUAAUUACAGGUAGUCACGCUUCGACCGCUUCUCCCCCUCCCUCUCGAAUGCUCCGUUGACUUUCCCGUGUUUGAGUACGGAACGCAACUGUCGGAGUUGGGCUGGAUUGGACGGAUGGUCGCUUACGUUACGCUUGCGCUGCGCCGACGUGUCGCUUCCGGUGUGAAUUUGGGAACUGCAGGAAUUCGUCCUGGAACUGCAGGAAUCCCUCACACCCACUUGGUGUUUCAGGAUAGGGUGCUGUCAGGCAGUCGACUAUUUCAGCUCAGCUGCACUGUGAGACCGCCGCAGGGGAGACCCUCACAGACUCCGCCCAGUCUUGCUGGCUCUGCAGCUGUCGCUUUCAAGCAGGGAUCCCUAACCUUGAAAGCUGGGAACAGGCUCGUCCGAUUUCAUGGGAGAAACGGCCGGGUCUGGGCAAAGCUUGGAUUGAACAAAAUUAAGGAAAAGAUGCUUUUUCAUGGACCACAAGUUUGUCUAGGGGACAGUGUGGAGACUCCCACAUGCAGAUUACAAUAUUGCAGAGGAGAACAGGCUACGUGGCCCAUGUUGUGCAUUACAAGUGAGAUUAAUGUACAUUGUAACUGGGUAGUAAUACUAGUAACGUUCUAGAUAGGAAGUGGAGGAUCCAAAAAUUCCAUCAAUGGGUUCCACAGUGUCAGUUUUUCAAACUUCCUCUACUCUUCCUUGACCACAAACUGGGAAGAUCCCUGUGUAAAUUUGUCUCAGUUUUCCCAGCCGUGAUGAGCUGGAUCAGUGUUGAUUCAUCCCUUUAUGGUGCUCAGUGAUUCUCUGAUUAGAUCUUUCUGGCGAAAAGACAAUGCAAGGAUGCCUUAGCAGACUAUACCCCUCUCAUCCUUGACAAUACUUCACCAGUGAUGUUGCCCCUGUAGGAGCAAAGCAUUGGCAAAGUCUGGAUACAAACCAGUAACUCUGCUACCUUGUCAUCCCAGGUCACGUCAAUUGUGAUGUAUAUUACAGUUUUACCCUUGGCUGGCUGCUAUCGUUUAAAAAUGAAUGAAGCUGCAAUGAGUUAAUUUAGGCCCAGCCCUCGUGUGGACUUAAUGGCUGGAGGACUGGAGCUCUUCCCUUGUCUUUUCACUCGCUGGGCCUGAAACCCUGGAUUCCCCUACAGGAAACAUUUUGUUGAAGUAGGGCAUUCAUUUCAUUCGAGUGAACAAAUUUGCUUUCCUCAGACAAUGAAGCUGAAAAAAGGAACUUUCUUUGAAAAAUGCUAAAAUCCAGAAGCCCCUUCAAAUCUUAUGCAGUAUUCAAAAACGUCUUGACUCAGGCUUUCUGCAGAGGAUUUACUAUGCUACUGCUCACCUCGGGUGUGUGUUUCAAAUCAAACAGGUACUCAAAAAAGCAUGUACAGUAUGUGCAAGUGCACAUAUAAACUGAAAAUAUAAAUCGUUAAGGCACUACAUACAUGUAGUCCAUCAUACAUUGCAUUAAACAAAUUAAUUCAUGAGGUUAUUUGUACAAGAACCUCAAGCUGAGCUUCAGUCACACCUGUUUUCAAAUCUGAGGCUGCUGCUGGUUACAGCCUUUGACUGGAGAAGAAAAGGCAAAUCCUGACUACACUGCAGUACCAUCAGCACAUCAUCCUCAUAUGUUUCACUUAAAGUCUCCCAUCCCUAGAAGAAAAAGAGAAAAAUAUUUUAAAGAUGUUAACUCUAGCAAACGUACUAAAAACAUAUGAAUCAAUGCAAUCAACACUUCUGUACAACGUUAUGACAAAGAAACAGCCUGUUCCAGAAUGGCAGACCUCAGACUUGACACUGGGUCAAGGCUACAGGCCUUCCUUCUAAGAUCCUGUGAUGAAUUAAGGGCAAAAACUGCAUCCGCCUUCUCUCUACAAACACAAGAAUGCAGUACAGGCCAGAUGUGAAUUAAGCAACGGAAAUAUGGCCAGCUUCUCCAAAUCAAACCAAGAUACAGUAGGUUCACAACAUCAAUAUCUAAGAUCUGAAUGUGGUGUAAAGCAUGCAGCUUGCUUAGAGAAAAAUGAUGCUCGUUACUUAUUGUAAUACAAUUCUUCAGGUUAUUUAUGCUCAUCCUAAAGGACGUUUGUGCUUUGAGAACUUAAUAUUGACUGCAUAUAUAACUGACACGUCAGGUCAGAGUCAAACAUUAAGAAACACACUGUGCAAGAUAACAUUCAAUCACAGGACUUGGUGCAGGCUUGUAAGAUUCUGGCAGAAUCAUACGCUUAAUGGAAAACCUGUGUGUGUUGUACGUAAAGGAUUAAAUAUGAUUAAGUUCUGUUUCUUGGACAUGUUUUCUGAUUUUUAGAGCAGGGAAGGUGGAAAUGGGCAAGCCUAUGAAUAUUGAUUAUGGUAAUGGAGGCUGGGCGUCCUGACCCGCGGUGGAGACUGGAGCCACUUUGCCCCAGCAGGGAUGACAGAGCUCGCGAGAGAGAGGUGACCCUGAGCAGCCAUUGUGAUCUCUUUGCCCACGUGGUUCUGUAAAAGACAGAUUUCCCCAGGAGACGUCUGCUGCAAUCUGCGUUUUUAAAGGCUUGAGCAGAGACAAUACCUUAGAAAAGCAGUGGUUGUUUUUGCUGCAUUAAUGGAACAAAUUUUUUGCGGUGUUCAUUGUUAAUGGGAUGAAAAAAUACAGAAACCCACAUUGCAUUUGAUUAUCAGUUGUACCAUCUGAUGACAGUUUAAUAUCACUAUACAGUACAAGCUUUUUUGUGAUGAGCAAUAAUUAACAUAAAGGUACCGAAAGAUUCAAUGAUGCCUCUGCCAGUCCACCUGCUCAGGCUCUGAAGUCUGCAUUUGGCCUAGUACAGUAUACCCUGAUGUACUGAUCCCUUUGUGUUCAGGAUAAAAUUUGGAAAGUGUAGCCAUUUUGACAAACAAGUCCAUCUGAGAUGCUGUACCUGUAAAGGUCUGAUUCUUGCCAGAAAUCAAGACAGUUAAAUGAAAAUAUCAAUAACAAUACCUACAGAAAGAAGUACUGGAAAUCAAUUUUAAUACCAAUUUUGCAAGAAUGGAUAAUUAAAUUGUGUUAUUUAAGAAUUGAAAAAAGCUGGACACUGGAAAGGUGCAGAACUAUACAAUUUCAAGAAUACACAGUAAUGCCAACUUUGUAUGGAAUUUGAUUGUAUGGAUUGCAGUAGGUGGGUAGAGGAAGCCAAUAACUGUUCUGUGGAUAUUGUUGUGAGUUAUUGUGCUGUGUAAUAAGCUGUCAUUGUCAUUAUGUCUUGGGUGUUUUCCUUUUUUGUGUAUUUUGUGAUAUGUUUAAUGUUACUUGACUAUUAUUUUAAAACAAUAAAAACAUUCUUAUAAAAAAGAUUUACAGGAAGCAAUUAAACUACGAU
rnacentral:lncRNA from 1 species